CAUGAACUAUAAAAAAUGCAAUCUUUGGAAACAAUAAAAUGCUUUUGAAGGUAUUGACCAUAAAGUGUUCAUAUCAAGUCACACAAAUGUAAUAACAAGUAGUUAUGUAAAGAAACACAGAAGUUUUUUUCAGGUAGCCGAGGCGGUUGUUCCCUAAUGAAUGUUCAUGCUGAUACAAUUCAAACCUCAGGUUUUUGUAAACUGUGUUUAAGAAAAAAACUGACACGGUAGGGAUAAAAACAGAUUUGCAGAGGGUACUUGUGGGUGUAAUGCCCCAUAUACUAAUUAUUUUUUACACCUGGUCCCACAUUUGCAUGUGAAAGAACGCGCAAUUUUCUGAUGACGCCAGGCAGACUAGCUGAGGUCGUGCCUCUAACGCUG